GACGAACGCUGGCGGCGUGCUUAACACAUGCAAGUCGUACGGUAAGGCCCUUUCGGGGGUCCACGAGUGGCGAACGGGUGAGUAACACGUGAGUAACCUGCCCACAACUUUGGGAUAACGCUAGGAAACUGGUGCUAAUACUGGAUAUGUGCUCCUGCUGCAUGGUGGGGGUUGGAAAGCUCCGGCGGUUGUGGAUGGACUCGCGGCCUAUCAGCUUGUUGGUGGGGUAGUGGCCUACCAAGGCGGCGACGGGUAGCCGGCCUGAGAGGGUGAUCGGCCACAUUGGGACUGAGAUACGGCCCAGACUCCUACGGGAGGCAGCAGUGGGGAAUAUUGCACAAUGGGCGCAAGCCUGAUGCAGCAACGCCGCGUGCGGGAUGACGGCCUUCGGGUUGUAAACCGCUUUCAGCAGGGACGAAGCUUUUUGUGACGGUACCUGCAGAAGAAGCACCGGCUAACUACGUG
rnacentral:rRNA from 1 species